rnacentral:rRNA from 1 species
UACGUAGGGUGCAAGCGUUAAUCGGAAUUACUGGGCGUAAAGCGUGCGCAGGCGGUUUUGUAAGUCUGUCGUGAAAGCCCCGGGCUCAACCUGGGAAUUGCGAUGGAGACUGCAAGUCUAGAAUCUGGCAGAGGGGGGUAGAAUUCCACGUGUAGCAGUGAAAUGCGUAGAGAUGUGGAGGAACACCGAUGGCGAAGGCAGCCCCCUGGGUCAAGAUUGACGCUCAUGCACGAAAGCGUGGGGAGCGAACAGG